rnacentral:rRNA from 2 species
CGGGAGUGCGGUCUUGCAUAUAAUGUAACUCAAGCGCACAGACCGGAGCUUGCUCCCUGAUGCCAGCGGCGCACGGCUGAGUAACACGUGUGUAACCUGUCUGUAAGACUGGGAUAACUCCGGGAAACCGGCGCUAAUACCGGAUGCUCGAUUGAACCGCAUGGUUCAAUUAUAAAAGGUGGCUUCGGCCUACAUUUAAAUAUGGGACCCCGGGGCAAUAACUAAUUGGUGGAGUAAAGGCUCCCCAAGCGCAAGAUUGCUUUCCACCUGAAAGGGGGAUCGGGCCCCCUGGGAAUCAAACCCCGGCCAGAAUCCUAACGGAGGCCCCCCUCGGGAAUCCUUCGGAAUGGACCAAAGUCUGACCGAACAACGCCCCCUUGGUUAAUAAGGUUUUCGGAAACGAAAACCCUGUUGGUAGGGAAAAACAAAUACCGUUUCAAUAGGGCGGGAACUUGCCGGUACCCAACCCGAAAGCCCCACGGCUAACUAAGUGCCAGCAACCGCGGUAAUACGUAGGGGGCAAGCGUUGUCCGGAAUUAUUGGGCCUAAAAGCGCCCGCAAGGCGGUUUCCUUAAGUCCGAAGGGAAAGCCCCCGGCCCAACCCCCGGGAAGGGUCAUUUGGAAAAGGGGGAACUUGACUUGCCAAAAAAAGAGAGUGGAAUUUUCCACGUGUCACCGGGGAAAUGCGGUAAACGAUGUGGAAGGAAAACACCAGUGGCGUAAGGCGACCUCUCCGGGCCUGGGAUUUUAACUUGACGCUGAGUGCCCGAAACCCGGGGGGAGCCAACACGAUUAGAUAUCCCGGGGGAACAAGUCCACGCCAUAAACCCAGGAGUGCUAAGUGUAAAAGGGGUUUCCGCCCUUUCAGGGCUGCAGGGGGCAAAAACAUUAAGCUACUCCCCCCUCCCCGGGGAGAAAGGUGCCCCAUUAGACAAAAACCCAAAGCAAUUGUACCCGCCCCCCCUUACAAGCGGUGAGAAAGCAGGGUGGUUUAAUGUCGAGACUCAUACACAAAAAACCUUACCAGGGGCUCGUUCACAUCUCUCAUGACAUACACAAGAGGGAGUAGGGCUCUCCCCUUCGGUGUGGCAGAGUGACAGGUGGUGCAUGGUUGUCGUCAGCUCGUGUCGUGAGAUGUUGGGUUAAGUCCCGCAACGAGCGCAACCCUUGAUCUUAGUUGCCAGCAUUCAGUUGGGCACUCUAAGGUGACUGCCGGUGACAAACCGGAGGAAGGUGGGGAUGACGUCAAAUCAUCAUGCCCCUUAUGACCUGGGCUACACACGUGCUACAAUGGGCAGAACAAAGGGCAGCGAAGCCGCGAGGCUAAGCCAAUCCCACAAAUCUGUUCUCAGUUCGGAUCGCAGUCUGCAACUCGACUGCGUGAAGCGGGAAUCGCUAGUAAUCGCGGAUCAGCAUGCCGCGGUGAAUACGUUCCCGGGCCUUGUACACACCGCCCGUCACACCACGAGAGUUUGUAACACCCGAAGUCGGUGAGGUAACCUUUUGGAGCCAGCCGCCGAAGGUGGGACAGAUGAUUGGGGUGA